UACGAGGGGGGCAAGCGUUGCUCGGAAUCAUUGGGCGUAAAGCGCACGUAGGCGGUUCGUUAUGUCGGAUGUGAAAGCCCUUGGCUUAACCGAGGAAGUGCAUCCGAAACUGGCGAGCUAGAGUACUAAAGAGGAUCGCGGAAUUCCCGGUGUAGAGGUGAAAUUCGUAGAUAUCGGGAGGAACACCGGUGGCGAAGGCGGCGAUCUGGGUAGAUACUGACGCUGAGGUGCGAAAGCGUGGGGAGCAAACAGG
rnacentral:rRNA from 1 species